rnacentral:rRNA from 1 species
AUUGAACGCUGGCGGCAUGCCUUACACAUGCAAGUCGAACGGCAGCACGGGUGCUUGCACCUGGUGGCGAGUGGCGAACGGGUGAGUAAUACAUCGGAACAUGUCCUGUAGUGGGGGAUAGCCCGGCGAAAGCCGGAUUAAUACCGCAUACGAUCUACGGAUGAAAGCGGGGGACCUUCGGGCCUCGCGCUAUAGGGUUGGCCGAUGGCUGAUUAGCUAGUUGGUGGGGUAAAGGCCUACCAAGGCGACGAUCAGUAGCUGGUCUGAGAGUACGACCAGCCACACUGGGACUGAGACACGGCCCAGACUCCUACGGGAGGCAGCAGUGGGGAAUUUUGGACAAUGGGCGAAAGCCUGAUCCAGCAAUGCCGCGUGUGUGAAGAAGGCCUUCGGGUUGUAAAGCACUUUUGUCCGGAAAGAAAUCCUUGGCCCUAAUACGGUCGGGGGAUGACGGUACCGGAAGAAUAAGCACCGGCUAACUACGUG